CCUACGGGUGGCAGCAGUGAGGAAUAUUGGUCAAUGGACGAGAGUCUGAACCAGCCAAGUAGCGUGAAGGAUGACUGCCCUAUGGGUUGUAAACUUCUUUUAUAAAGGAAUAAAACGAGGCACGUGUGCCUUUUUGCAUGUACUUUAUGAAUAAGGAUCGGCCUACUCCGUGCCCGCCGCCGCGGUAAUACGGUGGAUCCGAGCGUUAUCCGGAUUUGUUGGGUUUAAAGGGAGCGUAAAUGGGUUGUUAAGUCAGUUGUGAAAGUUUGCGGCUCAAACGUAAAAUUGCAAUUGAUACUGGCAGUCUUGAGUACAGUUGAGGUAUGCGGAAUUCGUGGUGUAGCGGUGAAAUGCUUAGAUAUCACGAAGAACCCCGAUUGCGAAGGCAGCUUACUAACCUGUGACUGACAUUGAUGCUCGAAAGUGUGGGUAUCAAACAGGAUUAGAUACCCCAGUAGUC
rnacentral:rRNA from 1 species